GAUGAACGCUGGCGGCGUGCUUAACACAUGCAAGUCGAACGAUGAAGCCUAGCUUGCUGGGUGGAUUAGUGGCGAACGGGUGAGUAACACGUGAGUAACCUGCCCUUGACUCUGGGAUAAGCCCGGGAAACUGGGUCUAAUACCGGAUAUGAGCGUCCACCGCAUGGUGGGUGUUGGAAAGAAUUUCGGUCAAGGAUGGACUCGCGGCCUAUCAGCUUGUUGGUGAGGUAAUGGCUCACCAAGGCGACGACGGGUAGCCGGCCUGAGAGGGUGACCGGCCACACUGGGACUGAGACACGGCCCAGACUCCUACGGGAGGCAGCAGUGGGGAAUAUUGCACAAUGGGCGAAAGCCUGAUGCAGCGACGCCGCGUGAGGGAUGACGGCCUUCGGGUUGUAAACCUCUUUCAGUAGGGAAGAAGCGAAAGUGACGGUACCUGCAGAAGAAGCACCGGCUAACUACGUGCCAGCAGCCGCGGUAAUACGUAGGGUGCGAGCGUUAUCCGGAAUUAUUGGGCGUAAAGAGCUCGUAGGCGGUUUGUCGCGUCUGUCGUGAAAGUCCGGGGCUUAACCCCGGAUCUGCGGUGGGUACGGGCAGACUAGAGUGCAGUAGGGGAGACUGGAAUUCCUGGUGUAGCGGUGGAAUGCGCAGAUAUCAGGAGGAACACCGAUGGCGAAGGCAGGUCUCUGGGCUGUAACUGACGCUGAGGAGCGAAAGCAUGGGGAGCGAACAGGAUUAGAUACCCUGGUAGUCCAUGCCGUAAACGUUGGGCACUAGGUGUGGGGAACAUUCCACGUUUUCCGCGCCGCAGCUAACGCAUUAAGUGCCCCGCCUGGGGAGUACGGCCGCAAGGCUAAAACUCAAAGGAAUUGACGGGGGCCCGCACAAGCGGCGGAGCAUGCGGAUUAAUUCGAUGCAACGCGAAGAACCUUACCAAGGCUUGACAUGUUCUCGACCGCCGUAGAGAUACGGUUUCCCCUUUGGGGCGGGUUCACAGGUGGUGCAUGGUUGUCGUCAGCUCGUGUCGUGAGAUGUUGGGUUAAGUCCCGCAACGAGCGCAACCCUCGUUCCAUGUUGCCAGCACGUAAUGGUGGGGACUCAUGGGAGACUGCCGGGGUCAACUCGGAGGAAGGUGGGGACGACGUCAAAUCAUCAUGCCCCUUAUGUCUUGGGCUUCACGCAUGCUACAAUGGCCGGUACAAAGGGUUGCGAUACUGUGAGGUGGAGCUAAUCCCAAAAAGCCGGUCUCAGUUCGGAUUGGGGUCUGCAACUCGACCCCAUGAAGUCGGAGUCGCUAGUAAUCGCAGAUCAGCAACGCUGCGGUGAAUACGUUCCCGGGCCU
rnacentral:rRNA from 1 species